UACGUAGGGAGCAAGCGUUGUCCGGAAUCAUUGGGCGUAAAGCGCGCGUAGGCGGCCAACUAAGUCCGACGUGAAAUCCCAAAGCUUAACUUUGGAACUGCGUCGGAUACUGGAUGGCUUGAAUUCGGGAGAGGGAUGCAGAAUUCCAGGUGUAGCGGUGAAAUGCGUAGAUAUCUGGAGGAACACCGGUGGCGAAGGCGGCAUCCUGGACCAAUUCUGACACUGAGGAGCGAAAGCCAGGGGAGCAAACGGG
rnacentral:rRNA from 1 species